UAUAUACUACAAAGAAUAAGGUGGUGUUUGGAUCACUAGUUCAUAGACUAAACUUUAGCUCCUAAAGUUUAGCCCCCAAACUUUAGUCCUGCUGGGGUGUUUGGAUCCAUGGGCUAAAAUUUAGUCUUCCUUCAAUGAAUGACUGAUUUGCCCCUCAUUAUGUUCAUUAUGUUGCUUUUGCUCUAUAUUCCUUCUGACGGGAGAGAUUGCCCUUGCGCCCAACCUCC
rnacentral:lncRNA from 1 species